CAAGGAUUCGGCAUGCCUGGCCUUUCCCUCGUGAUUUAAUUCAUCUUCUCUCAGUUCCAAUUAGACAAUUCUGAUUUUUAUUCUGUUUUACUUUUACACAUGGACAGGCAAGAAAAUUAAAGAAGACUAACUUUAUAAGCAUGCUAAAAUGAAGAAAACAAAAGCAAACAAGCCUGAACCAAGUAGAGUGGGGAGGAGCAAGAAUGGGAAAUUAAAUCCAGUAUCUAGCCCAUCCACCCUGGAGGCCAGCAGCUGGCUUUCAUGGUCCCAGCCUUGUUUGCUCUGCCCCAGGCAGAGAGUGAGGAAAGCUUUUGAAAACUUCUCUUCAUCUGUAGCACAUCUGCCUGCCUGAGGGGCCCCUGUCCCGGGGAAUCAUUUCUGACAGCUUCUUCUGCUUCUUACUAAUGGAGGGAUGCAUUAUUGCCUCAGGAGUCACCCUGUCGGGAGGCUUGUACCCCUGUGAUAAAGCCUGGAUGGGAGCAGUAUUUGACUUUUCGCUUAAUCCUGAGAUGCAAUCAGGACAAGCAUGUUUCAUGUGCAGGUGACUGGUGGGAACAGAUGGACCACAUAGAAUGGAAGAUUUGCAUCUCAUCUGGCUGCCCUUAGCCAUCACAUGUGAAGGAACUCCAGAGGAAGGACAAACAGAAAGAAUGAACUGGUGCUUACAUCUCUGCCACACAACAGAGGCUUAGACAAUGAGCUGUGCACGAGCAAAUGCCUUAGCUUCUAGCUUCUGUUCAAACUUGUGUGAGAAAAGCUUGAACUUGGGAACUCUGCUGACUGCUGGGCUCUACUCCGAGCAGACCUGGAGACCAGGUACCCGAAGGCUGACUCGCUCUGUGACCAUCUAUCAGACUUGUACUCUCAUAUCUGGAGUCAGCUUCCAAAAUAGAAGUGGAGAUGGGCUUGGGGAGCUGUGUUUUCAGAAUGAGAUGAGAGAAGAGAUGAAGAAGACACUUGUGAGAAAGAUCACAGAGCUCAGGAAUGGCCUCCAUGUCAUCUUCCCUCAGACCUCUGAGUGCUCACCAUGGCAAGUGCCUACCUACACACAUAAGCAAAAUUAAACACAUGUUAAAACCUGACCUCCCCAUGCUCACCAUGUUAAGUACACAGGUAAGCAAAAAUACACUGAUUAAAAGUGAUUGUAAUUUGCCUUUUAAGUCCAG
rnacentral:lncRNA from 1 species